rnacentral:lncRNA from 1 species
UGAAACGCCCCUCUGGACCCUCUGGAGAGCAAGGAGGACAACAUGACCAUCCUGGCCAACAACCACUGCUGCUUACCACGCGAGGUGGGGGGGGGUGUCCAGGGGUAACGGUGAACCAACGAGAGGAGCCAAGAGGGACGCAUGAGCAGAUUCAUGGGACAAAACAGCGAGGAGGACCACAGCCUCCGAGGAAUUGAGGACCAAAGGUGAGGGGAGGGCGGGACACCCCUCUUGCUGGUGUCCCAUGAGUCCAGGAAC